GCAUAUCAAUAAGCGGAGGAAAAGAAAAUAACAAUGAUUCCCCUAGUAACGGCGAGUGAAGAGGGAUUAGCUCAAAUUUAAAAUCUGCUGGGUUUACCUAUCAGAGUUGUAAUUUGAAGGGGCGUUUUCCGCGUCAUUGUUGGUCCAAAUCCUUUGGGAUAAGGUAUCAUGGAGGGUGAGAAUCCCGUCCGGCCGACAUCAUGAUGUUUUACGAUACGCUUUCAAAGAGUCGAGUUGUUUGGGAUUGCAGCUCAAAAUGGGAGGUAAAUUUCUCCUAAGGCUAAAUAUUGGCGAGAGACCGAUAGCGAACAAGUACCGUGAGGGAAAGAUGAAAAGAACUUUGAAAAGAGAGUUAAAAAGUACGUGAAAUUGUUGAAAGGGAAACGAUUGAAGUCAGUCGUACCGACGAGAAAUCAGCUUUUCGAAUGUGCAUUUGUGGGCGUAUGAGAUCUUCAUUGUUUGCAAUAUGUAUGUUUCUUUGGUGUACUUUUUCGUAUGGUAGGUCAACGUCGGUUUUGGUCGCCAUAAAAUGAUCGGAGGAAUGUAGCUUCGACCUCGGUUGAAGUGUUAUAGCCUUUGGUAAAUGUGGUGAUUAGGACCGAGGAUUGCAACGAAUACCUUUUAGGCUAUCCGUCUGACCUCUGAAAGUUACUUAGGUGCCGAAAGCUUGCUUACGGUCAUUUAAGUUGACGGUCAAUAGGUUAGAACGUGAUUACAUUCGUUAAGGACGUUGACGUAAUGGCUUUAAACGAC
rnacentral:rRNA from 1 species